UACAGAGGGGGCAAGCGUUGUUCGGAAUUACUGGGCGUAAAGAGCUCGUAGGCGGUCUGUCGCGUCGGCUGUGAAAACUCGGGGCUCAACCCCGAGCCUGCAGUCGAUACGGGCAGACUAGAGUGCUGUAGGGGAGACUGGAAUUCCUGGUGUAGCGGUGAAAUGCGCAGAUAUCAGGAGGAACACCGGUGGCGAAGGCGGGUCUCUGGGCAGUAACUGACGCUGAGGAGCGAAAGCGUGGGGAGCGAACAGG
rnacentral:rRNA from 1 species